rnacentral:rRNA from 1 species
CGGACGGGUGAGUAAUGUCUGGGAAACUGCCUGAUGGAGGGGGGUAACUACUGGAAACGGUAGCUAAUACCGCAUAACGUCGCAAGACCAAAGAGGGGGACCUUCGGGCCUCUUGCCAUCGGAUGUGCCCAGAUGGGAUUAGCUAGUAGGUGGGGUAAAGACUCACCUAGGCGACGAUCCCUAGCUGGUCUGAGAGGAUGACCAGCCACACUGGAACUGAGACACGGUCCAG